rnacentral:rRNA from 1 species
AUGACAUGAUGCAGGUGGUUAACAUUCCAGGCUUGUGCUUUUAGAGGGCAUGAUGAAUCUCCGGGAUCCAUUAACCGGGGUAAUUUCCUAGAACUGGUAAAACUUUUGGCUUCUUAUAACAAGGAGGUGAAAGAUGUUGUCUUGGAAAAUGCUCCUGGAAACGCAAAGUACACAUCUCAUCAGGUUCAAGAGGAAAUUCUUGCUAUACUUUCUCGAAAGGUGCAAAGAACAAUUAGAGAAGAAAUUGGUGAUAGCAAAUUUUGUAUAAUGGUUGACGAAGCUCGCGAUGAAUCCAAGAAAGAGCAAAUGGCGUUGGUCCUCCGGUUUCCUGACACUGAAGGGUUCAUACAGGAGCGUUUUGUUGAUGUCAUUCAUGUGAAUGACACUCUUGCAUUGACUCUCAAGGAGACAAUUUGCACUGUUCUAGCAUAUAACAAUUUAAAUGUGGAAGAUAUCAGAGGUCAGGCCUAUGACGGGGCCAGUAAAUGCGAGGGGAGUGGAACGGAUUGA